CGCCUUGCCAGCCCGCUCAGAAACUUAAGGAAUUGACGGGGCCCGCACAAGCGGUGGAGUAUGUGGUUUAAUUCGAUGCAACGCGAAGAACCUUACCUGGUCUUGACAUCCCGGAGACCCUUAGGAAACUAGGGGGUGCUUCCAUCUGGAAGAAUCUGGAGACAGGUGCUGCAUGGCUGUCGUCAGCUCGUGUCGUGAGAUGUUGGGUUAAGUCCCGCAACGAGCGCAACCCUUGCCUUUAGUUGCCAGCAGUUCGGCUGGGCACUCUAAAGGGACUGCCGGUGUUAAACCGGAGGAAGGUGGGGAUGACGUCAAGUCCUCAUGGCCUUUAUGACCAGGGCUACACACGUACUACAAUGGCCGAUACAAAGGGCAGCGACACUGCGAGGUGAAGCCAAUCCCGUAAAAUCGGUCUCAGUCCGGAUUGGAGUCUGCAACUCGACUCCAUGAAGUUGGAAUCGCUAGUAAUCGUGGAUCAGCAUGCCACGGUGAAUACGUUCCCGGGCCUU
rnacentral:rRNA from 1 species